ACUAGUGUUCUCUAAGUCUGUGUCUACUUUUCCUAUUGACAGUGUAUAUACUUGUGGGAGAGUGCACCUGAGCUUUAUGGAAGGGUGGGUGAUAUUUUGCAGCUAUGGUUUUUACUGUAUCAUCUUUGUUUUAAGCUAAUUAUGUCUACUGACUGAUUUUUAAAGGAGAAGGCUCUUUGGACUGGAAAGGACAGAACAAAGCUGGUGAGAAAGGAGUUGAUGCCAGAAGUAUGUAGAAGGUAAAAGGGGGUCUUGAGGAGAGGCUGCAUGAUGGAGCACUGGGCGCAGAGCAGGAAAAUCUGGCCCCCAAGAGGAGAAGUGAGACAUAGCGAGAAGGAGAGUGUGACAAGAAUGCAGACUAUUUGUAGAAGAAUAAACCUGGAAAAGCAGGCUGGAGCCAGACUGCGAAGGGCUAGAAAUGCCAAACCGGAAAGGAGCAUCCAGGGUGGUGCUGUUCAGUCAUGUCCCACUCUUCAUGACCCCACGGACCACAGCAUGCCUGGCUCUGCUAUCUGCCACUAUCACUUGAAGUCUUGGACUUCACUUGGACAGUUCAUGUUUGUUGGUUUCCUGACACUAUCUAGAUGUCUCAUGAUUUGAGCCACAGGCAGCUCCAGGUCUCAUUUUAACUGACUGUAUAGAGCUUCUCCACCUUUGGCUACAAAGUCUAUCAUUGAUCUGAUUUCAAUAUUGACCAUCUGGUGAUGUCCAUCUGGAGAGUCAACUUUUGGGUUGUUGAAAAAGAAUGUUUGUUAUGACCAGCGAGUUAUCUUGACCAAACUCUAUUAAUCUCUGCCCUGCUUCAUUUUGUAUUCCAAGGCCAAACUUGCUUGUUAUUCCAAUUCUCUUUUGCUUUUCUACUUCAGCAUUCCAAUCCCAUAUGCAUAUGCCAUCUUUUUGGGGGAUGUUAUUUCUAGAAAAUGUUGUAGGUCUUCAUGGAACUGAUCAAUUUUUGUCCCUUCAGCAGCAGUGAUUAAAGCAUAGACUUGUAUUA